UGCCAUUUCUAGCUAAUAGCCUUUCUGA
rnacentral:piRNA from 1 species